rnacentral:tRNA from 1 species
GCCGGAAUAGCUCAGUUGGUAGAGCAGAGGACUGAAAAUCCUCGUGUCCA